rnacentral:rRNA from 1 species
GACGAACGCUGGCGGCAGGCUUAACACAUGCAAGUCGAACGCAUCCUUCGGGGUGAGUGGCAGACGGGUGAGUAACACGUGGGAACGUACCUUUCGGUUCGGGAUAACCCAGGGAAACUUGGGCUAAUACCGGAUACGUCCUUAGGGAGAAAGAUUCAUUGCCGAAAGAUCGGCCCGCGUCUGAUUAGCUAGUUGGUGAGGUAACGGCUCACCAAGGCGACGAUCAGUAGCUGGUCUGAGAGGAUGAUCAGCCACACUGGGACUGAGACACGGCCCAGACUCCUACGGGAGGCAGCAGUGGGGAAUAUUGGACAAUGGGCGCAAGCCUGAUCCAGCCAUGCCGCGUGAGUGAUGAAGGCCCUAGGGUUGUAAAGCUCUUUCGGCGGGGACGAUAAUGACGGUACCCGCAGAAGAAGCCCCGGCU